GACCCUAUCGUCUAGAGGCCUAGGACAACACCCUUUCACGGUGUGAACCGGGGUUCGAAUCCCCGUGGGGUCGCCA
rnacentral:tRNA from 1 species